CCCGUUUUCAUAGCAGGAUGGGAGGGGGGGAAAUUAGCAUAUGGGCGUGACAAUGAUGACAAUGACAGAUUGUUUUUCACAAGUUAUGAGCAGCUGUUACUCGUUACCCUACGUUAUAUAACGCACGUAUAUUUGAAAAAGAAACAGAUAUUUACAAAUACCAAAAUCUUGGACAAUUAACAACAACAUUUUGAAAUCAGUAUGGUCAUUCU